rnacentral:lncRNA from 1 species
ACAAACACAGAAACAUCUUCAAUUAUUAAAAACAGGUGCAGCUUUCUUACAGUUAGAGUGACUCUGAAGAAAGUGAGGUGUUGCAUGAAUGGUUGUGUGCACACUUAAGUGUUGACACUCUGCAAAUAUAAAAGAACGUUUCAAUGUUUGUGCAGGUAAAUAAACUUUAAUAAACUCUCCGUGUCCUCUCCUCCUGGAACGGUAAAGAAAUAUCACCGGCCUGCUGAAUAUGACCAAGAAAACUCUCAGACAGACAGAUCAUUGGACUCUGACUCGUACGUGUUUUAGCCCCCUGGUGUCAAACACAGAUUACUGCACUAAAGCCUGUAACAUUAUUGUCUGUCGGUUUUUAGAGGGGAGUGAAUCAACUCCUUUUUGUUGCAUAUCAGUGCAGAGAAGGCUUGUUUGCUUCUGUGCACAAUACACCAAUGCUCCUGUAUUUAAUAUGGCCCAGUGGGAACAUGUGAAUGCAGAGGUUUGUUAAAAUUGUUAAAAUUAGCAUCAUCUCAUGGUUUUUGUAUGAGCUGAAAAAAAUUAAACCUACAGUCAUAAUUACAUUCCUGAGAUUGCCUUGGAUGAACCAGCGCCGCUGGAUAUGACAACUAUGGAGAACUCUUGGUCAGCACUGUUAGUGGUCAAAUCGGCUCAGGAUCCUGUACUGGUACAGAGUGACUAUAACAGAUGUGUUCAAGAGAUGGACGCCAAAUUACAAUGCGAAAUAUCAUUAAACUGAAUGUAUAGCCAAUCAUAUCGUGUUACAUCACAGUGGGCGCAGGUGCCCGCGCUGAUUUGGGCGCCCUGGCACAAGCACCGUGACAUCUCUCCAUUAAUACACGUCCAUAAGGUCCUGUUUGUGCAUGUUUGAGUGUGUUACAGUCUGUGUGUGUGCUUUGAAUUGUUAAAUUUGACCCUCAGAGAUGAGUAAAGAAAAUAAAGUAUGUGGUCCUAUAGGAGGGUGUUUUGUAGGGCUGCAACAUUUUGGCUAAAAUUAAAAUCCGAAUUUUUUCUCUGAAAACUUUAUUUUCAAUUUUGAUUUCUUAUUCAGUGACAACUUCACCAAAACUUCACCUCAGUAAAUAGUUUUUCUACCAUCUCUCAAAAUGAAACCACUGAAAACGAUGUAGUGCAUAUGCCAAGACAGAGGAUCCUGGAGAUGUUUUUCAGCUUGAGUCUUAACCUGACCUCUUCUGGUUUUUGGGAUUGAGACAAACGAGCCAAUCACUGAGCUCCUCCACCUCACCCCCCAUUGACCAAUCAUUAACCAGAUCCUCAGCUGCUGAUAAAACAAACUUUCCCAGAGAGCGUCACCUCAACGAUUUUAAAACACCUUAAACAAGAUUUGUUUGUGUUUUUUAUUAUGCAUGCAGAUAUAAAACCCACCGGAAAAGUUUAGAGAAAGAGAAUCAUUGAUUAAGAAUCAUUUGUAUUUAUAUAAAGCUACAGACUCAGUCACCUCACCCUGAGAUGCUGUUUGCAAACAUCACGAGUUUUAUCAGGAUUCAAUAAAAGGUGCAAAUUGUAAGUGACGUAAAGCCUACUACUGUAUAGAAGCAGAGCGGUAAAUAACUGUAUCAUCUGCAUACAAAGAAAAAUUUGCAUUAAGGACAUUUUGACUGAUACUGUUGACAUAAAUGGUAAACAACAGAGGUCCCAGAACAGAACCCUGGACAACGCCAUUUAUCCAAUUUUGAUCAGAGGGAUGAUUUUCAAACCAGCUGACAGAUCGUUCACUCAGAUCGUCUGAGUGAGAAUACGAAGUUUUACAUGAACCUCAGACCACAUGCUGUGAGUUAUUUCUGCACAGAGUGUGUUCAUGUUACAUGACUGGAUCUGCUGACGGUUCAGGAAGUGUUAUCACUGUGUUAACAUGUCACACAUGAACACACACACACACACACACAUAUGAACACACACUCACAAACAUCUGCUGACUGCUGCGCAUCUAUAUUUAGACUCAGUUUACUCUAAUCCAGAUGAAAUGAUUAACUAGUCUGGUCUUUUUUCUUACACUUAAUGAGACUCUCACAGAAAAUAUCAAUAAAAAGAACAGAUAACAGAAAUAAUGGAGAUUUUCACUGAAUCUCAGUGCUGACAUGGUGAAAUGAGUUAUAAUCAUAAACUCUGAUUUCAUUUCAAAAGACCAGUCAGAAACAAAUCUACAUUAUAGUUAUCUCUGUUGCUGAAUAACUGUGGAAGUUUCCAGAACAUUACACAAAGUUUUGCUCAUUUUAAUGCAACGCAGAAAAAGCAUUUUACACAAUUUGACAGUACAGCCAACUCUCCCUCCUCCCCGAACCCGAGCGCUCAUCUGGCUUUAAGAGAGAAAUUUUCCUGCACUUUACUAACCAUUAGGAAGCCCAUUUUGUUUUUGACAUGCUUUUCCACCUGCAGCAGGUUUAGAUAAUCAGGUAUAUAUGCUGGAAGUGUCACUGAUAAAUUUUGAUAUUUGAUCAUUUUUUCACUCCUGACAGACAAAAUUUUUCUCUGUUUAUGAGCAAUAUUGGGAUCCCUCUUGCUGUCCACUUUGCAUAGAGGUUUCUCCACUUUAUCCUCCAGCGAGUUGCCUGAAGUCCAUGAAGGUGUCCAAGUGUGUGUGCAAUAAACGACGUCAGAUUCACUCAUUUUUUUAAGUUUGUCUCUUGAAAUCCUGCAGAUUUGAACAGUUUUGGUGCGCUGUGUACCAGAGAGCAUUUUUAUGUGGCUCUGCAAAUAGUGCAAAACACAAAUGAGUUUUCUGACAGCAAACAGAUGAGAAAUUCUAGUCAGAGUGAACACCUGAACUGAAGUUAGAGUUAGAGUCUCUCAAAAUUAGCUGAGUUAUUUUCCAGAGUCGGCUUCGUCCGCUGAAAACUGUUGCCCAGUUUGUUUCUCUCCUGGCAGUUUCACUGAAGGAGCCUAACUAAACAUUCAUCGUGGAUAAUACACAAACUAGUGACAUGUAACUUAAACAUCCUCCCUCUAAAACAAUCACAGAGAUAUUCUUUCAUCACAUACAUUAUGUUUCAUCUGUAAACGUCAUAGAUAAGUAAUGAGAUGAAUCUAAAUGUGCAGAAAUGUCAUUAAAUGUUCUCGUUUUAUAAAUAUAAUGAAGGUUUGAUUCUGUGUUAACGUGGGGAAAUAUUUGCUGACUGUUUUCACUUUUCAGCCAAUCAGAAAGCAGGGAGUUAGGGCGUGUGACCCGUGAGAAUGCCGGCUUCCACGAGUCUGAUAAGCAGCUGGACGAACCAGCGGUCGCUCUGAUUG